rnacentral:rRNA from 1 species
GACGAACGCUGGCGGCGUGCUUAACACAUGCAAGUCGAACGAAGAGCGAUGGAAGCUUGCUUCUAUCAAUCUUAGUGGCGAACGGGUGAGUAACGCGUAAUCAACCUGCCCUUCAGAGGGGGACAACAGUUGGAAACGACUGCUAAUACCGCAUACGAUCCAAUCUCGGCAUCGGGACUGGAUGAAAGGUGGCCUCUAUUUAUAAGCUAUCACUGAAGGAGGGGAUUGCGUCUGAUUAGCUAGUUGGAGGGGUAACGGCCCACCAAGGCGAUGAGCAGUAGCCGGUCUGAGAGGAUGAACGGCCACAUUGGGACUGAGACACGGCCCAGACUCCUACGGGAGGCAGCAGUGGGGAAUCUUCCGCAAUGGACGAAAGUCUGACGGAGCAACGCCGCGUGAGUGAUGACGGCCUUCGGGUUGUAAAGCUCUGUUAAUCGGGACGAAUGGUUCUUGUGCGAAUAGUGCGAGGAUUUGACGGUACCGGAAUAGAAAGCCACGGCUAACUACGUG